AGUGUAAAUGGAAUUACCUUGAGAUCCAUCAUCUCUUACACCUCUUUCUACGUUUCAUGGUUCGACCAAAUCAUUAUAAAAAAAACAUUUAUUAUUACCUUGAAUUCAUCAUAUAAACAUAAAAGCCUUUUUAAUGAUCUUGAGAUCUCAUAGUAAGACGACUAAAUAAAGGGUAAUCUGAUCUUGGCCGGUACGCAAGCGCUUCUCGGUUCUCACUCUCUGACUCAUUGAAUCUUGUCCCUAGACAAACAUGACAUGUGAUGUGUUCAUGCUAAUCUCCGCCAUGGACGGCUCCGAGCUUCC
rnacentral:lncRNA from 1 species